UACGUAGGGUGCAGGCGUUAAUCGGAAUUACUGGGCGUAAAGCGUGCGCAGGCGGUUUCUUAAGUCAGAUGUGAAAUCCCCGGGCUUAACCUGGGAACUGCGUUUGAAACUGGGAGACUUGAGUGUGGCAGAGGGGGGUGGAAUUCCACGUGUAGCAGUGAAAUGCGUAGAUAUGUGGAGGAACACCAAUGGCGAAGGCAGCCCCCUGGGUCAACACUGACGCUCACGCACGAAAGCGUGGGGAGCAAACAGG
rnacentral:rRNA from 1 species